rnacentral:rRNA from 1 species
UGGGGAAUUUUGGACAAUGGGGGAAACCCUGAUCCAGCCAUCCCGCGUGUGCGAUGAAGGCCUUCGGGUUGUAAAGCACUUUUGGCAGGAAAGAAACGUCAUGGGUUAAUACCCCGUGAAACUGACGGUACCUGCAGAAUAAGCACCGGCUAACUACGUGCCAGCAGCCGCGGUAAUACGUAGGGUGCAAGCGUUAAUCGGAAUUACUGGGCGUAAAGCGUGCGCAGGCGGUUCGGAAAGAAAGAUGUGAAAUCCCAGAGCUCAACUUUGGAACUGCAUUGUUAACUAGCGGGCUGGAGUGUGUCAGAGGGAGGUGGAAUUCCGCGUGUAGCAGUGAAAUGCGUAGAUAUGCGGGGGAACACCGAUGGCGAAGGCAGCAUCCUGGGAUAAAACUGACGCUCAUGCACGAAAGCGUGGGGAGCAAACAGG